rnacentral:lncRNA from 1 species
CCAAACUGGGGCUUAGAGAGGGAGGGUUCUUGGCUUUGCCCAGGAAAGAAUUCAACGGUAAGCUGGUGGUGUUAAACAGGUGAUAAAGAAUAUAACUGAAAAGCUACCAACGAAAUGAAGAUUAUGAGAAAGUUGAAAUUACCUUGAACCUACUCUCAUAUAUUCUUGGUGUUUGGGACUGCUACAAAAUGUAAGGAAGCAUCAUAAAUCUAGAAGAAGGUUCAACUUAACGACAGAAGCCUGAAUGUGCCAGUAGUUCCUCCCUUUAAGAGAUGGAGUCUGUUUCUCUGCCUUAAGUUGACCUUUGGACUUAUUUUGGUCAAUAGAAUGCAGUGAAAGUAACCAUGUGCUGAAUCUAAGGCGGACGUCAGUGGCUGUGUGGGUUUCCAUGCUCUCUCAGAACUCCAUCACUGUCCUGUGAACAAAUCCAGGCUAGCCUGCAGGAGUGAGACACCAUAUGAAGAGAUCCCAGUUAUCACAGCUGAGGCCAUCCUAGACUUGUUUGCAGCCAGUUGAUUCUGGAGAACGUGAGAAGGACCAGCCAAGGUCAUCAGAGCCACGUUUGCCACACCCACAGCUAACUGAAGCUAUGUGCCUGGGCCCAGCUGUGACCAGAACUGCUCAGCUAACCUGGAGACUCAUAAGCAAUAAAGGAUACUUUUGGGUCUAUAAUCCACUGAAAUUUGGUUGGCUUGUUACACAGCAAUAGCUAACUGAUACAGGACAGCAGUGGUAGAUUUAGAGACCAAACAAUGAAAAUGAG